CCUACGGGGCGCUGCAGUCGAGAAUCAUUCACAAUGGGGGAAACCCUGAUGGUGCGACGCCGCGUGGGGGAAUGAAGGUCUUCGGAUUGUAAACCCCUGUCAUGUGGGAGCAAAUUAAAAAGAUAGUACCACAAGAGGAAGAGACGGCUAACUCUGUGCCAGCAGCCGCGGUAAUACAGAGGUCUCAAGCGUUGUUCGGAAUCACUGGGCGUAAAGCGUGCGUAGGCUGUUUCGUAAGUCGUGUGUGAAAGGCGCGGGCUCAACCCGCGGACGGCACAUGAUACUGCGAGACUAGAGUAAGGGAGGGGGAACCGGAAUUCUCGGUGUAGCAGUGAAAUGCGUAGAUAUCGAGAGGAACACUCGGGGCGAAGGCGGGUUCCUGGACAUUAACUGACGCUGAGGCACGAAGGCCAGGGGAGCGAAAGGGAUUAGAUACCCUUGUAGUC
rnacentral:rRNA from 1 species